rnacentral:rRNA from 1 species
UACGGAGGAUCCAAGCGUUAUCCGGAAUCAUUGGGUUUAAAGGGUCCGUAGGCGGUUUUGUAAGUCAGUGGUGAAAGCCCAUCGCUCAACGGUGGGACGGCCAUUGAUACUGCAAGACUUGAAUUACUAGGAAGUAACUAGAAUAUGUAGUGUAGCGGUGAAAUGCUUAGAGAUUACUUGGAAUACCAAUUGCGAAGGCAGUUCACUAUGCUUGUAUUGACACUGAGGCACGAAAGCGUGGGAAUCAAACAGG